rnacentral:tRNA from 1 species
GCAACGAUGGCCGAGUGGUCAUAAGGCGCUUGGCUCAAGUCCAAGUCUCGCAAGAGGCGUGGGUUCGAAUCCCACUCGUUGCA